AUUGAACGCUGGCGGCAUGCCUUACACAUGCAAGUCGAACGGUAGAGGGGGCAACCUCUCGAGAGUGGCGAACGGGUGAGUAAAGCAUCGGAACGUGCCCAGUAGUGGGGGAUAGCCCGGCGAAAGCCGGAUUAAUACCGCAUGAGACCUACGGGUGAAAGGGGGGGAUCGCAAGACCUCUCGCUAUUGGAGCGGCCGGUGUCAGAUUAGGUAGUUGGCGGGGUAAAGGCCUACCAAGCCGACGAUCUGUAGCUGGUCUGAGAGGACGACCAGCAACACUGGGACUGAGACACGGCGCAGACUCCUACGGGAGGCAGCAGUGGGGAAUUUUGGACAAUGGGCGAAAGCCUGAUCCAGCCAUGCCGCGUGCGGGAAGAAGGGCUUCGGGUUGUAAACCGCUUUUGUCGGGGAAGAAAUCCUUUGAGUUAAUACCUCGGGGGGAUGACGGUACCUGAAGAAUAAGCACCGGCUAACUACGUGCCAGCCGCCGCAGUAA
rnacentral:rRNA from 1 species